CUGGGAUACCACUUGGAAACAGGUGCUAAUACCGGAUAACAACAAUAGCUGCAUGGCUAUUGCUUAAAAGGCGGCGAAAGCUGUCGCUAAAGGAUGGACCGCGGUGCAUUAGCUAGUUGGUAAGGUAAUGGCUUACCAAGGCGACGAUGCAUAGCCGAGUUGAGAGACUGAUCGGCCACAUUGGGACUGAGACACGGCCCAAACUCCUACGGGAGGCAGCAGUAGGGAAUCUUCCACAAUGGGCGAAAGCCUGAUGGAGCAACGCCGCGUGAGUGAAGAAGGUUUUCGGAUCGUAAAGCUCUGUUGUUGGUGAAGAAGGAUAGAGGUAGUAACUGGCCCCUAUUUGACGGUAAUCAACCAGAAAGUCACGGCUAACUACGUGCCAGCAGCCGCGGUAAUACGUAGGUGGCAAGCGUUGUCCGGAUUUAUUGGGCGUAAAGCGAGCGCAGGCGGAAAGAUAAGUCUGAUGUGAAAGCCCCCGGCUUAACCGAGGAAUUGCAUCGGAAACUGUGUUUCUUGAGUGCAGAAGAGGAGAGUGGAACUCCAUGUGUAGCGGUGGAAUGCGUAGAUAUAUGGAAGAACACCAGUGGCGAAGGCGGCUCUCUGGUCUGUAACUGACGCUGAGGCUCGAAAGCAUGGGUAGCGAACAGGAUUAGAUACCCUGGUAGUCCAUGCCGUAAAC
rnacentral:rRNA from 1 species